GUAGCCUUAAUCUUAACAACUACGUGAUUUGAUCCAAAAUUAGACAUUUUGAAUAAAGAAUGAAAGUAAAAAAAGAAAACAUGAAGGAAGGUAUGAAACAAUAGGAGCGUCAACGAAUGCUGAACAGAAAGCAAGAAGAAAGCAAG
rnacentral:lncRNA from 1 species